rnacentral:rRNA from 1 species
UGGGGAAUAUUGGACAAUGGGGGCAACCCUGAUCCAGCAAUGCCGCGUGUGUGAAGAAGGUCUUCGGAUUGUAAAGCACUUUCGACGGGGACGAUGAUGACGGUACCCGUAGAAGAAGCCCCGGCUAACUUCGUGCCAGCAGCCGCGGUAAUACGAAGGGGGCUAGCGUUGCUCGGAAUGACUGGGCGUAAAGGGCGUGUAGGCGGUUUACACAGUCAGAUGUGAAAUCCCCGGGCUUAAGCCUUGGGA